GCCCACUUUCCCCAAUAUUCAUCUUUUCCCUCCAAAUGCCAUUUAACUUCCCCCAAUCUCCAUUGUCUCAGAACAUUCAUCCCUUUCCAUCCAUUCCCUGAAGACGUCAAGUCGAGCUCCCCUUCUCUCCGUUCUCUUUCAUCUCCACCGAUGAUGACCAGUCCACUCUCCAAGUCACCACAAGCGUUCUCCUCACCGGUGACAUUUCCGUCUUCCUCUUCUUCUCCUCCCGUCUCCGAGCAAAGUGCCAAAGAACUGGUCUGCGUUGAGCUCAUAAGUGUUGGAUCUUUGUCUGCUUGCUUUAGAUUAGAUGGUUCAUCAAUAUCUCAUCAUGUAUCGCUGGUUGCUGGUGGAUUCUCUUAUUCAUCACUCAAGAAUUGGGAUAUUGCAAAACUUGGGUGUAUGGCAGUUGUAAGUUGUUUUGAACCUGUUCGGGGCUGCUAUGAUAUGAAGGUUGCAAGCUUUUGAUUUGGGUUGUUUCGGUGGAGGAAUCGACCCGUCAUCGAUGGUAAAUAAGUUAAGGGGCUGCUGCGUUUGGUUCCUGUUUACUGCAAGAUAAAGGGUUUAAACUACUUGUUUUGGUGGAAAAUUGGACCUACAAUCUUCGGCAAUUUCUACGGUUUCGGUUGCAAGUAUGAAUUGAAGACGUCGGUUUGGGUUGCAUGUAUGAAGGCAUCGGUUCGGGAAGUUAUUGUAUAUCACUUUCAUCUUUAGAGAUAUAUGUAUUUGUGUUACUUUGAAACUUUUGUAAUUGUGUCACUUUGAAACCUUUGUAAUUUAUAUUCUUGGGGUUAUUUUAAA